rnacentral:lncRNA from 1 species
CAGCGUGAAAAGUGUGGAGGAUAUUGGCAAACAGUUGUGUAUGAGAAGAAGCCAGAUUACUGUUUUCGGUGUAGACAUUUUGGUCAUACUGAGGAGCAUUGCCGCCCUGCACCACCACCUGCUCUAAUUGUUGACCCUAUUCCUAAGCCUACUAUAGAUAUGGCGAAGGAUAAGGGUAAAGGAAAGGAGGUCGUUAUUGAGCCUCCUAAGAGAUGGAUUCCAGUUCAGAGAGAUCAGAAGAGACAACACGAUGCUAGCACAUCUGGAGUUCAGAUUCCGCUUUCUGUGUCCACUGUCAUCACAUCAGUCCCAUUACCUACUGGCACUAGCUCACAUGCUCAGACCCAGCCAUCUGUUCCUCCAGUUGCUCCUCCCGUCGCUACAGCCUUACCAGUUAUCAGUGUUGUAGAUCCAGUUACAUCUACCACUCCUUCAGCUCCUGCUCAGGCUAUCAGUCCACCUAUCACUCCGUUUUAUGAUCCUAUGUUGGAAGAGAUCUUGAAGAGGCCACAGACACAGAAUUCUACAGCAGACACAGUCAGCAGAGCUCCUUACAUUCCAGGCCCGACACCGGGUAGGUCUCAGGCACAUAUUUCCACUUCUUCUCCUCCUGUUUGUCAUCAAAAUGUGGAGGCAUCUAUUCCAUCUUUGCAGUCAGCGCAUUCAGACACAGAGGGCUCACCUCAGAUUGAGGUUCACCAGCAGGGACCUUUUCGAAGAUCUUCUUCUGAUGACUUGGUGGGUUUGGAUGAGAGGACAGAGGAAGAUGGAUUUAUCCCAGUUGUUCGGAAGAGACACCCACGGGCUACUGAUACUCCACAUCCGAGCAGAAGGAUCACUCGGAGUCAGUCACAUGAUACCUCCUCACAUUCUCCUUCCCUAUGAAUGCCAUCAUUUGGAAUGUGAGAGGUGUAGCUAGUGUAGCUACUCGUCGGCGCCUGAAGAAACUUAUACAGCUUCAUCAGGUUUAUCUUCUAGUUCUACUGGAGCCUUUUGUUUUGCGGCAGAAUUUUGCAUAUACACGACGCUAUCUGCGCUUCGACAUGGGAGCUCAGAAUGAAUCGAAUAAGAUGUGGUUUUUCUGGAAUUCGGGGACUAAUGUUACUGUUAUUGUUGAUCAUCCC